AAUCAACGCUGGCGGCGUGCCUCAGACAUGCAAGUCGAACGCGAAAGGUUCCUUCGGGAGCCGAGUAGAGUGGCGCUCGGGUGAGUAACACGUAGGUAAUUUGCCUUUGGGUGGGGAAUAACAAUCGGAAACGGUUGCUAAUACCGCAUAAUGCAGCGGCUCGACAUCGAGACAGUUGUUAAAGCGGGGGAUCCUUCGGGACCUCGCGCCUAAAGAGAAGCCUGCGGCGGAUUAGCAGUUGGUGAGGUAAUGGCUCACCAAGGCGACGAUCCGUAACCGGCCUGAGAGGGCGGACGGUCACACUGACACUUAAAUACGGGUCAGA
rnacentral:rRNA from 1 species